rnacentral:lncRNA from 1 species
CAGUAAAAAUAUAAAGCAGUCUAAACAGAAAUCCGAGGAGCACAGAUUUAAUGAUGGGCUGGAAGAGGAAGUACUCUGACAGAGACUGAAUGGAAUGCUGGAAUAGAAUAGCAGCAGAAGCCAAGGGAAAAUGCCCCUUUAGAAAGAAGGCUAGGUGUGCCACAGCUAAGAAUGACCCAUUCCUGGAACACACAAAAGGAGAAAAGUUCCUCUUUUCAUGCUGUGGUCAGAGGAGGAGGCAUAGAGAAUCCAGAAAGUGAUGAGACCAACAGUCUUCAGUGCUGUGCCUGAGAAAACCCUGGAGGAAUUUAUCUGUACAUGGAAGGGCAUUGGGUUCUAAGAAAGGAUGGAACGGGACAGGAAGUCCAAGACUGUGAAUUAUGGCAAUAUCAAUAUCAUGUUUAAAAGAUCUUGUCAGAGAUCUUAUAUAAUAAUGUGCAUUAAAAUCUCACACUUAGAUAUUGAGCUUUAAUUUAUAAAGUAUGUAUAAAAUAAUAUAAUUAGGAUAGAAAUAUAACUUUGUAGAAAAAC